rfam:Oryza sativa Japonica Group DNA, chromosome 4, cultivar: Nipponbare, complete sequence.
UUGUCCACUGGAGUUCUCCUCAAUCCACUUCAGUAGAUAGCUAUGGCUAGGCCUCAUUGCAUUGCACUGUUACAUAACUGUGAUCAUGGGGCCAAAAGCUAGCUAUGUAUAGUGAAGUGCUUGGGGGAACUCCAGUUGACAC